UACGUAGGUGGCAAGCGUUGUCCGGCUUUCUUGUUUUUAAAGGGCGCGUAGGCGGCCGAGCGGGUCGUGGGUGAAAUCCUCCAGCUUAACUGGAGAACUGCUUACGAUACCACUGCGGCUCGAGGAAGGAAGGGGCAAUCGGAACUGUCGGUGGAGCGGUGAAAUGCGUUGAUAUCGACAGGAACGCCGGUGGCGAAAGCGGAUUGCUGGUCCUUUUCUGACGCUGAGGCGCGAAAGCCAGGGGAGCAAACGGG
rnacentral:rRNA from 1 species